UGCCAGUGAUGUUCCCUAAAUUCUGACACCUCAUAUGAAACUGUCAAAACAGCUUCUUGAUUUUAUUUUUUGGGCUGAGGCAC
rfam:Xenopus laevis strain J chromosome 9_10L, whole genome shotgun sequence.